rnacentral:rRNA from 1 species
AUUGAACGCUGGCGGCAGGCCUAACACAUGCAAGUCGAGCGAGUGGCGGACGGGUGAGUAAUGUCUGGGAAACUGCCCGAUGGAGGGGGAUAACCACUGGAAACGGUAGAUAAUACCGCAUACCAUCGGAUGUGCCCAUAUGGGAUUAGCUAGUAGGUGGGGUAAUGGCUCACCUAGGCGACGAUCCCUAGCUGGUCUGAGAGGAUGACCAGCCACACGGGAACUGAGACACGGUCCAGACUCCUACGGGAGGCAGCAGUGGGGAAUAUUGCACAAUGGGCGCAAGCCUGAUGCAGCCAUGCCGCGUGUAUGAAGAAGGCCUUAGGGUUGUAAAGUACUUUCAGCGGGGAGGCGUUACCCGCAGAAGAAGCACCGGCUAACUCCGUGCCAGCAGCCGCGGUAAUUC